AGACAGACCAUAUGAUGUACCUGGAAACACCUGGAAACGUUAAAGGAAGUGCAAGCCAAUGGGAGGAGGUGGCGUUCACACAGAUCAGUCUAAAAUCAACUUGCUGUGCACUGCGCCUCUGUGACAAGUCUCCUCCUGCUGGCGUCUCGGUGAGCUCUGACAUGGGAAGGAUCCCUAACCAUCACCAAGUGAAUAAUUUGUCUCUCCAGUAAAUUGCACAUCACGGUAAAGAGCCAUUUCUCUCAGGCUUCUCGCACUUCAGCUUUCUGUAAUGCAUCCAACACGGAGAUGUGUGGUUCUCACCUAUUUAAGUCAUUGAUGAGGUUAGUGGUUGACAACAGGCAUCAAAUUAGGGGGUGGCCAAAAGUCUCAGGUGGGUUUUGGACUGUGUGAGCCAGCAGGAUAUCCCCCUGGACUAUUCAAGCUCACUUCCAGACCCCCAGUCCCACUUUUAAAAUAUCUAUCUAUCUAUCUAUCUAUCUA
rnacentral:lncRNA from 1 species